UGGCCAGACUCCUACGGGAGGCAGCAGUGGGGGAUAUUGCACAAUGGGGGAAACCCUGAUGCAGCGACGCCGCGUGAGUGAAGAAGUAUUUCGGUAUGUAAAGCUCUAUCAGCAGGGAAGAAGAUGACAGUACCUGAGUAAGAAGCCCCGGCUAACUACGUGCCAGCAGCCGCGGUAAUACGUAGGGGGCAAGCGUUAUCCGGAUUUACUGGGUGUAAAGGGAGCGUAGACGGUUAUGUAAGUCUGGAGUGAAAGCCCGGGGCCCAACCCCGGGACUGCAUUGGAAACUGUCAGGCUAGAGUGUCGGAGAGGCAAGUGGAAUUCCUAGUGUAGCGGUGAAAUGCGUAGAUAUUAGGAGGAACACCAGUGGCGAAGGCGGCUUGCUGGACGAUGACUGACGUUGAGGCUCGAAAGCGUGGGGAGCAAACAGGAUUAGAUACCCGAGUA
rnacentral:rRNA from 1 species